GUGGGGAAUAUUGGGCAAUGGGCGAAAGCCUGACCCAGCAACGCCGCGUGAAGGAAGAAGGUUUUCGGAUCGUAAACUUCUAUCCUCGGUGAAGAUAAUGACGGUAGCCAAGAAGGAAGCCCCGGCUAACUACGUGCCAGCAGCCGCGGUAAUACGUAGGGGGCAAGAGUUGUCCGGAAUGAUUGGGCGUAAAGGGCGCGUAGGCGGCCUGGUAAGUCUGGAGUGAAAGUCCUGCUUUUAAGGUGGGAAUUGCUUUGGAUACUGUCGCGCUUGAGUGCAGGAGAGGUAAGUGGAAUUCCCGGUGUAGCGGUGAAAUGCGUAGAGAUCGGGAGGAACACCAGUGGCGAAGGCGACUUACUGGACUGUAACUGACGCUGAGGCGCGAAAGUGUGGGGAGCAAACAGGAUUAGAAACCCGGGUAGUCC
rnacentral:rRNA from 1 species